GGUUUGCAAAGGGAGUAGCCUCUAGUCCUUUUGUUACUUAGGUGUGGAAAGUUGGGGUUUUCCUUUUGAUUUAGUUCUAGGAAGUCAGCGUGAAUCAGCCUUAGGUUCCCUGCCUCCAGACCCUAUUGUCCUGCCUCACAAGAGUUGAAGAAAGACCACCAGUGAAAUGUUGAUAAGCCAAGGUAUAGAUGAGAAUCCCAAACUGAGACAGCUUAAGAAAUGUCCAGAGUCUUGUAACAAGUGAAAAUGUCAUAUGUCAUGAGGUCAUGUUGGAAAACCUUGAAGAGGAUAAAAGAUCUUCCACUAGCAACAGUACUUCCCCUUCCUGCUGCCAUGUGAAGAAGGACGUGUUUGCUUCUCCAUCUGCUAUGAUUAUAAGUUUUCUGAGGCCUCCUCAGCCCUGCAGAACUG
rnacentral:lncRNA from 1 species